rnacentral:tRNA from 1 species
CAAAAUGUAGCUUAACCAAUAAAGCACUCGGCCUACACCCGAAAGAUUUCACCAAAUUGAACAUUUUGA